GACGAACGCUGGCGGCGUGCUUAACACAUGCAAGUCGAACGGAAAGGCCCUUCGGGGUACUCGAGUGGCGAACGGGUGAGUAGCACGUGGGUGAUCUGCCCUGCACUUUGGGAUAAGCCUGGGAAACUGGGUCUAAUACCGAAUAGGACCGCGCGCUUCAUGGUGUGUGGUGGAAAGCUUUUGCGGUGUGGGAUGGGCCCGCGGCCUAUCAGCUUGUUGGUGGGGUAAUGGCCUACCAAGGCGACGACGGGUAGCCGGCCUGAGAGGGUGACCGGCCACACUGGGACUGAGAUACGGCCCAGACUCCUACGGGAGGCAGCAGUGGGGAAUAUUGCACAAUGGGCGCAAGCCUGAUGCAGCGACGCCGCGUGAGGGAUGACGGCCUUCGGGUUGUAAACCUCUUUCACCAGGGACGAAGCGCAAGUGACGGUACCUGGAGAAGAAGCACCGGCCAACUACGUG
rnacentral:rRNA from 1 species